UCCGCGCUGCCCCUGCCUCCCGGGAGAACCUGGCGGAGGCAGCGGUGCCGGCGCGGGAGGAGAAGGCAGAGGCCGUCCCCAACGCCGAGAAGAGUCCCCUGAGCACCGUCAAGGCUGAGAGGAAGGUCUCCAGCAGCCCCAUGAAGGCGGUGGAGGGCACCGACAUGAUGAAAGCAGCCAUGUACUCCGUGGAGAUCACGGUGGAGAAGGACAGAGUGACUGGGGAGACCAAGGUCCUGUCCAGCAGCACCCUGCUCCCGCAGGAGCACUGCCCGCAGGGCGUCAAGGUGUACGAGGACGAGCUGCG